GCAAGUCUGGUGCCAGCAGCCGCGGUAAUUCCAGCUCCAAUAGCGUAUAUUAAAGUUGUUGCAGUUAAAAAGCUCGUAGUUGAACCUUGGGCUUGGUUGGCCGGUCCGCCUUUUUGGCGAGUACUGGACCCAACCGAGCCUUUCCUUCUGGCUAACCUUUCGCCCUUGUGGUGUUUGGCGAACCAGGACUUUUACUUUGAAAAAAUUAGAGUGUUCAAAGCAGGCCUUUGCUCGAAUAUAUUAGCAUGGAAUAAUAGAAUAGGACGUUAUGGUUCUAUUUUGUUGGUUUCUAGGACCAUCGUAAUGAUUAAUAGGGACGGUCGGGGGCAUCAGUAUUCAGUUGUCAGAGGUGAAAUUCUUGGAUUACCUGAAGACUAACUACUGCGAAAGCAUUUGCCAAA
rnacentral:rRNA from 1 species